rnacentral:rRNA from 1 species
CGGAGGGCUAGCGUUGUUCGGAAUUACUGGGCGUAAAGCGCACGUAGGCGGCUUUGUAAGUUAGAGGUGAAAGCCCGGGGCUCAACUCCGGAAUUGCCUUUAAGACUGCAUCGCUUGAACACGGGAGAGGUGAGUGGAAUUCCGAGUGUAGAGGUGAAAUUCGUAGAUAUUCGGAAGAACACCAGUGGCGAAGGCGGCUCACUGGACCGUUGUUGACGCUGAGGUGCGAAAGCGUGGGGAGCAAACAGGAUU